GCUCCCGUAGUUCAACGGAUAGAAUGCAAGAUUGCGGAUCUUGCGAUAGAGGUUCGAUUCCUCUCGGGAGCACAA
rnacentral:tRNA from 1 species